rnacentral:rRNA from 1 species
GUCUACAACCAUGUCACCUUGAACAAGCCCGAUCCCAUCUGAUAUUGAAAGCUAAGCAGGGUCGGGCCUGGUUAGUACUUGGAUGGGAGACUACCUAGGAAGACCAGGUGCUGUAAGCG